ACCUUUAAUAUGCUAGGUAUCACGAAUUAACUCAUUUAGUUCUCAAAACCCUAUUAAAAUAGUAUUUUUCUUUCCCAUUUCACAGGUGAGGAAAUUGAGGCACACAGUUAUGUCACUUGCAUAAGUCACAAAGCUAGUUCAUGACCGAGCUAGAAUUGGAAUCUUGGCCAGGUAAUUCCAGAUGUUUCACUCUUAACCAUUCUAUAGAAUCAGCACCCAUCUUUGAGUCAGAGUUUGAGAUGCAAAUCCUUUACUGUAUAGCCUUGAUCAAAUGACUUCACCUCAUUGAAUUAAUCUUCUUCUGCAUAAAAUGGGGUCACCAUCUGCUUAUCUAAAUUGUUACAAAUGGGACAGUAUAUGUGCCAUUCCAGAUACCUAAUCACAGCUCAAUCGAUGCUGGUGUCUUUUUCCUUUUUCCUUCUGCAGAAAACAUGCUUUACAUAGGAUCUCUGAACUUAAAGAAUGGGAAGAAGAAAAAUCAUGUUUCCAGCUUGGGCUGCUGUUUCAUCUGUUGGACUUGCUUAAAGCGUAUGGGUUUGUUUACCCUUCCUGCAGGCAUCCAACCUGGCCUUUUAUUCCUGCUCAAGUAGGACAUGCAGCCUGCUGGGGACCCGUGGCUCAAAUCCUCCAACUGCAGGACUGCCGGCCCUGGGACUCAUGAAUAAUGGAAGUGCAGUAACCACUCCUUACAGCCCAGACGACUUUCCAGGAGCAGGCUGUACCCCGAAAGUAAACAAGGAACAAGGGGCAAGGAGACAGAGAGAGAUGGGGAAAUGAUCCCUGAAUGGAAAGGAAUGCUAUGCACACUUUUUGGAUACAGGAAGUGAGAUUCAGAGGGGUUAAACAGCUUUCCUAAAGCCACACAGCGAGAGAGUCGAUCUGAACUGAAGAUUGUUUGACAUCAAAGCUCAUUUCUUUCCCUAAAUGUCAGCAUUCUUUCCUGACUUAUUAAUUUGAUUUCUGUCCUCCCCUCAUGGAAGUUAAUUAAAGGAAUGCGAGAACCUUUUAGAAAAUCUCCAGGGCAGCUUCUGUGUUGAUCAUUGUUUCACAAUCUCUUUUCCACCCAAUCCCCACCAGCCCUUUAGAUCUGUUUCUGUUAGGCCACAUCCCAGAGCUGCACAGAUCAGGGGAGAGAGAGCUCGCCGCUAAGGCAAGUCCUCUGUCAAAUGCAACAGGGACGAG
rnacentral:lncRNA from 1 species